AUGGCCGCCUCCAGCGACCUCCUCGACGUCGACCCGCCCGAGCUCCAGUUCCCCUUCGAGCUCGACAAGCAGAUCUCCUGCCCCCUCAAGAUGAUCAAUAAGACCGACAGAACCGUCGCCUUCAAGGUUAAGACGACGAGCCCCAAGAAGUACUGCGUGCGCCCCAACAAUGGCGUCGUGCGGCCGCGGUCCACCUGCGAAGUUGUAGUGACGAUGCAAGCCCAGAUUGUUGCACCACCAGACUUGCAGUGCAAGGACAAAUUCUUGGUGCAAAGCGUGGUCGUCGCCGAUCGCUUAUCGGCCAAGGACAUCACCGCUCAAAUGUUCACGAAACAAGGGGGUAACGCUGUUAGGGAGGUGAGGAUGAGGGUCACUUAUGUGAUGCCAACCGAAUCGUCGUUAGAGAUUGCGGAGGAAAGCGAUGGGCCACAGCGUAUCUUGGUGCCUAUGCAGCGAAUUGUGGAUCAUGGGAGGAGCGCUUCGGGGCUGUCGAGUGGCUCGGUAUCCUUGAGAUCAGCUGAGCUGGGGACAGAGGUGGGAUCACCUACUGGACCAGUUGUAAGGACUGAAGAAUUACUGAAGGCUGCAGGACAUGCUGCUGAAACAAGAACAUAUGCAGGGCCUGAUGCACAGUCCCUUGAGCUGUCGGCUUUAAUUACAAAAUUAACCAAGGAAAAGGAUUCUGCCCUUGAGCAAAAUAAAAAGCUUCGCAGUGAGUUGAUUCGAAAUUCUAGGCCCAACAGCCCAACUGACCGUCAUGGGGUUCAAGGCUGUGACGUCACCCGCUCACUUCCGGCCCCCGCUUUUGUUUCCAUGGAGCGGCUGAAAUCGGCGGUGCCGGCCGAUAUCCGGCGAGCCGUCGGCGAGGGCACGACCCGCGACCUCCCUACCACAACCUCUCUCCUUCUCGCCUUCCUCGACGACCUCCCUCUAUUCCACCAGGUCAUCGGCGAGCUGACCGACCCGGAGCUCGCGCUGUGCCGCAAGGACAAGGGGAGGGCGGCGGAGCUGAAGGGCCGGGGCAAUGCCUGCUUCACCGGGAGGGAGUUCGACCAAGCGCUUGGGUUCUAUUCACAGGCGCUGCGUUACGCCCCGAUUAGUUCUGAUGGCACUGAUGAUAUCUUGGUACCUGCAUUAUAUGUCAACCGUGCCUCCACUAUGCAUAAAUUGGGCCUCCUGGAAGAGUGUCUGCGGGAUUGCGACAGGGCCAUCUCUGUUUCACCUAAUUAUGCGAAGGCAUGGUACAGGAGGGGAAUGGUAAAUGCAUCGUUGAAGAAUUAUUCAUCUGCCGUGCAUGAUCUAGAGGUUGCAUUGAGCAUGGAAGUGACUUCUUCUGGGAAGAGCAACAUAGAACAAGAGUUGAAAUUGAUAUUGUUAAAGCCUCAAUGUGUGAACGAAGUUGGAAGAUCAAGCAGUGAUUGCAAGGAUGCAGGAUUGGCACAUACAGCAGAACCACAUAAGGUUGUCCUUGAGUGUAUUGCAACGCCCAACAAAGGUAGAGGAAUGACAUCUCCAAAUGAUAUUCCUCUGACCUCCUUGAUUCAUGUUGAGGAUCCUCUUGCUGCGAUUAUCCUGAAAUCUUGCCGGGAGACUCACUGCCAUUAUUGCUUUAGUGAAGCACCUGCAGAUGUUGUGUUCUGCCCCUUGUGUACAAUACCAGUUUAUUGUUCAAGAAAGUGCCAAGAGCAAGCUGUAGGCGGAAUCUCUUGGAAUCAAGAUACUUAUCUUGAAUCUAACAGUAAUGCAGUUGAUCUUGGAAUACUGAGCCUAACUUCUACAAGGUGCAUGGCUCCAAACUCCAAACAGAUUGCUGAACAUAGGCACGAAUGUGGAGGUGCCCAUUGGGCAGCUGUUUUGCCAGCUGAUAUAGUUUUAGCUGGGCGACUAAUGGCACAAUACAUAGACAGCAGAAUGCUGACUGGAAAGAGCUCUGCCAUCUCCGGUCCAAAUUUGGAUCUCAUUCAGCACUAUGACAUAGAUUCUCCUACUAGCAAGUUGGAAUCACAUAUAUGUGCGAUUGUCUUGUUAUUAUGCCUCCAAAAGCAUUAUAUAUCAGAUCUUUCGUGGAAAGAGGAAACUUUAUCCCAGCUGGUUCUUUUGAUAUGUCAAGUUAAAGUCAAUUCAAUUGCUAUUGUUUGUAUGAAAUCCAUGGAUGGAGGCCAGGGACUGACAGAGAGUAAAGGUUAUUCUGCAGCUGAUGAUGCAGUUAUGUGUAGUGUGGAGCAGGUCAAGGUUGCUCAAGCUAUCUACAUGUCUGGUAGCCUCUUUAAUCACUCGUGCCGGCCAAAUGUACAUGCAUAUUUUCAUUCACGCACUCUCUUCCUAAGAUCUACCACAUAUAUAAAUUCAGGGAGCCCAGUCGAGCUAUCAUAUGGUCCACAGGUUGGUGAGAUGAAUCUUGUGAAAAGACAAAAGUCACUUCAGGAGAAUUACAAAUUUACUUGCCAGUGUUCAAGUUGUUCAGAGCUACAUCUAUCGGACCUUGUCAUUGAUUCAUUUUGUUGUCCACAAAGUAGCUGUCUUGGUGCCGUAUCAGAAUCAACUUGCUACAAAUCCGAAAAGAAUUGUGUGCAUGUUUCCGUAGAUGAAUCUGAUAUCUGCAAACUAUCAUUGCCUCAUGUUUCCAAGGUUGAUGAAGAUAUAGAGAAGGUUGGGAAAUUGUUUUUCAGAAAUAAUGUUGAUUUGAAGAUAGAUCCUGGAUAUUGCAUGAGCUGUAGAUCACAAAUUAACUUGUCUUCUGCUGUCUCUACAUCAGAGAAGGCAGCAUCAAUGAUCAAUAGGUUUAAGGAACUUGCAGUUAUAGAUGAAAUCUCCGAAAUUCCCAUCACAGAUGCAUUACGAUCCCUACAACAGAUAAAGAAGUUGAGGCACCCAUAUAGCAAGGCUCUUGCCCAGGCAGAAGAUGUGAUUGCAGAAGCCUUUGCAAAGAUAGGAGAUCAAGAACAAGCAAGAAAGCACUGUGAAGCAUCAAUUAAGAUCCUUGAGAAGCUGUACCACCCCAAACACAUUGCCAUUGCGCAUGAGUUGAUCAAGCUUGUUUCCAUCGAGCUGUCUCUGGGGGACAGGGCAAGCGCAGCAGCUACAUUCACCCAGGCAGAGGCGAUAUUUUCACUUUAUUAUGGACCUGAUGUUCAGAGGAUUUUACCUUAUGUUGAUGCCCUGAAAAGAACUGUUAGUGGAGGGUUCAUUGGAGCUCCUUGA
rnacentral:rRNA from 1 species